UACAGAGGGUGCAGGCGUUAAUCGGAAUUACUGGGCGUAAAGCGUGCGUAGACGGUUAUGUAAGUCAGGUGUGAAAGCCCCGGGCUCAACCUGGGAAUGCCAUUUGAGACUGCAUAGCUAGGGUACGGAAGAGGGAAGCGGAAUUUCAGGUGUAGCGGUGAGAUGCGUAGAUAUCUGAAGGAACACCAGUGGCGAAAGCGGCUUCCUGGUCCAGUACCGACGUUCAGGCACGAAAGCGUGGGGAGCAAACAGG
rnacentral:rRNA from 1 species